CAGGAUGAACGCUAGCGGCAGGCUUAACACAUGCAAGUCGAGGGGCAUCGGGAGUAGCAAUACUGCCGGCGACCGGCGCAAGGGUGCGUAACGCGUGAGCAACAUGCCCGUAUCAGGGGGAUAAUCCAUGGAAACGUGGUCUAAUACCCCAUAGUAAUUAUGUAAGGCAUCUUAUAUAAUUUAAAGCUUUGGUGGAUACGGAUUGGCUCGCGUGACAUUAGCUGGAUGGUAAGGUAACGGCUUACCAUGGCUACGAUGUCUAGGGGUUCUGAGAGGAAGGUCCCCCACACUGGAACUGAGACACGGUCCAGACUCCUACGGGAGGCAGCAGUGAGGAAUAUUGGACAAUGGAUGGAAAUCUGAUCCAGCCAUGCCGCGUGCAAGGAAGACGGCCCUAUGGGUUGUAAACUGCUUUUGUAUGGGAGCAAUAAGGGCUACGUGUAGUCCGAUGAGAGUACCAUACGAAUAAGCACCGGCUAACUCCGUGCCAGCCGCCGC
rnacentral:rRNA from 1 species